CUUUUCAUUUCCCUUCUCUUUUCAUUUUCCCUCCGUUAGCUCUAAGAAAAAACCCACACACGCACAUACACACACUCUCUCUCUUUCUCUGUGUCAAAAUCUGUUUCACUCUCAAAAUCUCUAGACCUCAGCAUGUGCCAACCCACCCAACUCACUAGAGAUCGAACUCAACAGAGACCAACUGCUACUCACGCCGCCGCCAAUCUCCAAAAAUUUGGAGAAACAUUAAUCAAGCAAGCGCAGUUACUCAAGAGAGACGGCAACUCAUACUUCAAGAAAGAUCGUAUUGGAGUCGCCAUUGAUACUUAUACAGAGGCAAUUACGCUAUGCCCAAAUGUUCCUAUGUAUUUGAUGAAUCGUGCUUUGUGUCAUCGCAAGCGGAAUUGUUGUUCGCAGGCUCCCUUCUUCUACUUCCUAGCAAGAUUUGAAGGAUCAUAUGCGAAAAGCUGGUGAUGUAUGUUUUGCUGAGGUGUCCCGUGAUGGGGAAGAUUGCAAAAAGAAAAGACAUUACAAGUUCGUGUGAUCAAAGCAAGUGAAUUUGUUUGUGUUAGAAUUAAGGGGUUAUGGCCCUUGGGAUUUUAACGGGGAAUCAUCGUUUGCAAAGACUUCUACUAAAAUUCCUAGCUGUGUCCAAGAAAACUCGAUAGAGUAUGUCGAUCUUCGUGACAUGUCGCAUAACAUGUUCCCCAUACAUGAUAUGGCAUCUGGGCCAAUGGAAGAAGUCCUUAGUGUGCAACAACCCAUAGAAGGUCCUGGAGAAGGUCCUAAUGAAGAUGCACUACAAUUUAUGAAAUUUCUUGAAGAUGCUAAUCAAACUUUUUAUGAAGGUUGUAAGCAUUUUCGCAAAUUGUCAACCAUUGUGCAUUUGUACCACAUGAAGAGUCUUAAUGGUUGGACCAACAAAUCAUUUACCAUGUUGCUACAAUUUUUACUUGAUUUUCUUCAUUCAAAUGCUAAGUUUUCAAAUGAUUGUUAUGAGGCUAAGAAGAUUAUUAAGGAUCUGGGCUUGAGCUAUGAGAAGAUUCAUGCUUAUCCUAAGAUUGUAUUUUAUAUUGGAAGGAGAAUGCCAACUUUGAAGCUUGUCCAAACUGUGGAGUUUCAAGAUGGGAAAGUAAUGAGUCUAAAGGUCAAUAAAGUACUAAUUCUUCCCCCAAGAAAAGAAAAAAGAAAGUUGCAAAGAUCCAAGACCAUUUAUUACCUUUAAUUGGGUCUAGUCAAAUUCAAGUUAUAUGGGGUAAGGUGCAACUAUUGUUGAAGUUUGCAUAAUUUCUCAUCCAAUUGGACACCCUGAGCUUGAUAAAAAUAUUUCCAAUGAAAUUCAUGAAAAAUAUAAUUUCUAUUAUCUUGAAUAAAAUGAUGUUGCUAAUUUCUAAAUUUUUUGUUUUGUUUAAACUCAAAUAUCAGGAAAAAAUGAAGGAAUUGUUGGCUGACCCUUCGAAUCAAUUACAGUCAUCUAACACAAGUGGUAGUAUUGCAUGGUCAACAAAUGAUGUGUUUGCCAUAGUGAUGGGUAAGGAGCAAAUGUCGUAUUCGUGGGGUAGGAUUUGGUCCAAGCCCAAGUGGUUGAAGUAGCAAGAGAGCUCUCACGAGCAUUCAAAUACAAUCAAGUCAAGCAAGGGACAACGAAGUUGCACAACUAAAGGCUUCCUUGGCUACUAUGGAGGAGAAACUGGCAUGUUUUGAUGAAAUGAAGGAAAGACUUAGUCAAUUCAAAGAUGUGGAGUGAAGAAUGGCUUGCAUGCUUCAACAAAUGUAACAAAUUUAUUCACAAUACAGUCAGGAUGUUCCUCCGGUUCAACAAUUUCCAGCUCUCCAAAAAUCAUCAGUUGCAUCCCAUCAACCAAGAAGCUUAUAAGUUUUAUCUUGGUGUUCAAGGACUUUUUUGUGUACAAAGAACUACAUUUGAACAACCGCAUUUUUUGCAAGUGUUAAAGGAUAUUUUUAAACACUUUGGAACUUUGAUUAUGAUAUUAGCUUAAUUUGA